AAUUUCUGUAAAUACACAUGUAUAAGUAUCAAUUUGUUGGUUGACCGACCAACCGACCGAUUGAUUGUUUGAUAAAUGUCUUUACAUUUAUUUGUCGCAAAACGCAUUGCUUGACAGGAUCAGUUAAAACAAACUUUAAAAUCGCGAAAGCAAAACAAAGAAAUCAACUUCCUGUAUAAUUCAGGUUCAUAACAGUGGAAAAUUGUAAAUCACAGUCAACUGUCAUCUAUUGAUCCACUUGAAGUGUUUUGAAGUGUUUUAUGUGCGCUUGAACGAGUCUACUUUGUAAAUAAAAUGAAAUUGCAUGUCACAAGCGCAUGUUUUAUACCCAUGUGUAAACCUAAAUACCGAUAGAUCAUCUUAAAUAAUUUCGAUAAUUACUGUAUUUCAUCGAGUCAUGAGCGUAAUUUCAAUUGUAGUAGUUUUUUAUGGAUUUUUUUUAUACAAAUCUUAAAUCUCUGCCGGCAGGCAAUCUUGAGUCUGGUUAACACAACAAUUAUGACACGCAUUUGUACUCACUUUAAAUGCGCUUGUGAUUGUAUUUCAAAGUUUAUGAGGUUCUUCUGCGCCUAAGAAUGCAAUAUGUCUUAACCCGGAGUGUGCCCAAGCACUCAUAAUACUUAAAUAACUUACAAGGCUCACGAAUGUUGGAACGCAUCUUGAAGUAUUGUCUUAAUUUGCAUUUCUUUAUUUGUGCAUGAAUAAUUUUCAAUUUUUGUUGCGGUGUUGUAUCAUGGGGGAGUGGAGCCGGAGUACCCGGAUGAAACCCCACUGUUUGGUAUGGUGACCACCAACCACACUUCUAUGUCUCCGGGAACGAGAUUUGAACCCGGGUCGCCUUGGUGAGACGUAUGCUGCGUACUAACAGGAAAGUUUUGUCCCAGAUCAAGGACGACACUGUACACACAUGCAUUUAAUCCCGUUUUCCCAGUGCGAGGCCCAAAUGCUUACAGACUUACAGUAGGUAACACGAUGACUUCUUUGUACCCCUUCAUAUGGAGUGGCCGUCUGCCUCUUCACGUGUGUGGACCUUUUUCUAGGACGUGUCAGGGGACAAUUCUAAUUUUGAACACACCGGGUAGGUCCAGUUUACCACGGCUGCCUGGGUUAUCGCCGAAGGUAAUAGGCCAGUUCGUGAUGGCUUAUGAGACUUUUAUGUGCUCUAUCAUGACAAUAAUACCCAAUAAGAAUUUAUCAUAUCAAUUUACAAUAUAAUAUUAUUCGAUUAGAACUGUAUUCUCCCAACAUGAUUCACAACUCUUUUAUAUUU